rnacentral:rRNA from 1 species
GGGCCCGCACAAGCGGCGGAGCAUGCGGAUUAAUUCGAUGCGACGCGAAGAACCUUACCUGGGUUUGACAUGGCCGCUAAAGCCACAGAGAUGUGGUGUCCUUCGGGGGCGGUCACAGGUGGUGCAUGGCUGUCGUCAGCUCGUGUCGUGAGAUGUUGGGUUAAGUCCCGCAACGAGCGCAACCCUCGUUCCAUGUUGCCAGCGGGUAAUGCCGGGGACUCAUGGGAGACUGCCGGGGUCAACUCGGAGGAAGGUGGGGAUGACGUCAAGUCAUCAUGCCCCUUAUGUCCAGGGCUUCACGCAUGCUACAAUGGCCGGUACAAAGGGCUGCGAUACCGCAAGGUGGAGCGAAUCCCAAAAAGCCGGUCUCAGUUCGGAUCGGGGUCUGCAACUCGACCCCGUGAAGUCGGAGUCGCUAGUAAUCGCAGAUCAGCAUUGCUGCGGUGAAUACGUUCCCGGGCCUU